GGGAGGCAAGGCUGCUACUGCAUUCGUCACCGGGUUCCCCGUUGCACAUUGCCCCAUCCCAUGAAGAAAGUCACAGUCUAGCCCCUCCCCUGCCCCCUAUCUCCUCCCAAGAAAGAAGGCUCCCGCUCGACGUUGAAGAAUCCAGGCGCGUCCUUUUUAGGUAUCUCAGUGGUACUUGGCAUAGAUCCCGAGGAGGAGCAUUUUGCACAGCACGGAUGUGUCUGAGUGCGCCCAAUUGGAAAUGGAGGGAAAUAAUAAACGGCUGUAGAUUGUCUCCUGCAGAAGGCCUAGAGGCAAACUGUACGGGACUAACUACUGGAAGGACUAGCAGCUUGUGUCCAUCUCUUUAUACUAAGAAAAAAGGGGAUUCGCUUUGCCCACUGAUGAGCGUGAACACUGAUGAUUUUGGAUAUUAAAGCUGCAGUCCACUCCACGCAUGAAAGUAUUUCCUUCCUAAGACCAGUUAUGGCUGCAGUCCUAAACAAACUUGUUGAGAGUAUGGCCUCCAGAAGAAAGAACUCGCAGCGAUCCUAUGCAUGGUUAAAGGGACAGAAGUAGAUCAGGCCAUGAUUAAUUUUGGCUUAAACUCCACGCCCGCCCCUUGGGCCUUGUGCCAUUAGUGUUGGAAGAUGAAUUCCAGUCAUCCUGGCGAAAGAACUCACAGGUCAUCCUUGCUAUUCACAAACCCUGUCAUCUGUGACAUCCAAUGAAGUAUGAAUUGCUACUAUCUGCAGUUUACAAAUCAGGAGAUUGAGGCACAGAGGCCAAGGAGAUUGAGGCACAGAGCAUUGUUAAAUGAUUUUCUCAAGGACACAUUUCAAGAGGAGCAUUGCAGUAGAGUUUGUAACUGGUUUAUGAACAACUUGUCUGCACAUGCACUGACAAUUAUGUAACCAGGAGUCUUGUCACAAUAAUCCGACUGCAGUCCUAAGCACAAUGGGUUGGACAAGGAGAAACCAGAGAGAACAGGGCCAGUCUAACUUAAAAAUGCAAGAUGAACACGCUUUUUCCUAUCAACCAAUUUACUUUGAGGCAUUAACAGCCACCUCACAUCCCACACCAGGGACUUUCCCUCACCAAGGUUAUCUUUCAGAGAAGCUUCUAAGAAAAAAGGCAGAUUCUCUGCUGAAAAAAAGUGAUGAGAGUUCUGGAGCCUCAUCCUGUAUCCCAGUUCUGGGUUUGCCAGCAACAGCAUAUGAUAUCUACUAAAGACCCUUGUCCUGUUCCCCAAGAAGGGCUUUACUGUAUUUCAUUCUCCAUAUUCAUCACAGAGACCAGCUUAAUUUUAUGGCUAUAGCAGCUUGAUGCAAAUAGUAGGACACUCCGUUGUAGGUCUUUGCUGCCUUGUAGGGCAACGAGCCAUCUUUUCUCAAACACUCAGGCUUUUAUCAUUUGAAAACGUUUCAGCCAAAUAUAUCAAUCUCUCACAUAAAGACAUACAGUUCUUCUUUUCAAAAAGAGUGAAUUUGUAGUAUCUUAAAGAUAAUAGACUUCAAUGAAUCUGCUAGUCUUCAGGGUGCUGUAAGGCUCCUUUUUGUCUUUAUUGUAACUAACAUGGCUGUCCCACUGGAGUCCUUCAAAAAGCAUUACUUCAUUUAACUGUACCAAAGAUGGCUUAUCUAUGAUACAAAGAUUAUUUGUAUGAUGUGAAUAUGAUUUACAAAUAAUAGUGCAACCAUCUGGAGUGUUCUUUCCCCUGCUUGGAUUAUUUGUUUCCAUUUCUCUCAAAGUAGCAUCAAGAACACCCAGCCUGGAUCUGUUUAAAAGGAUAUGAUAUUUAGACUGAGGUAGCUGAGUGAUAUAUUGAAAGCCUUUUGUAUUUCCCUCUGAGCAGUAGUAUGUGCCUUUUGGCCCAUCUUGGUAUUACUGACCAGUUGUUCCAAUUACAUUUCAACCAUUCUCUUCCCUCCAGCUAGCUCUAAUAUUGAUAACUACACUUAACUGAAAAUUGUGAACAAAUGCUUGUGCUUGGCUAGAUGCCAUAAA